CCUACGGGAGGCAGCAGUGAGGGAUAUUGCGCAAUGGGCGAAAGCCUGACGCAGCGACGCCGCGUGGGCGAGGAAGGCCUUCGGGUUGUAAAGCCCUUUUGGCAGGGAAGAGCAAGGACUGUACCUGCAGAACAAGUCACGGCUAACUCCGUGCCAGCAGCCGCGGUAAUACGGAGGGUGCGAGCGUUGUUCGGAAUUAUUGGGCGUAAAGCGCGUGUAGGCGGUUUGUUAAGUCUGAGGUGAAAGCCCCGGGCUCAACCUGGGAAGUGCAUUGGAUACUGGCAGACUUGAGUACGGGAGAGGAGAGUGGAAUUCCCAGUGUAGGAGUGAAAUCCGUAGAUAUUGGGAGGAACACCGGUGGCGAGGGCGGCUCUCUGGGCCGAUACUGACGCUGAGACGCGAAAGCGUGGGGAGCAAACAGGAUUAGAUACCCUGGUAGU
rnacentral:rRNA from 1 species